rnacentral:rRNA from 1 species
GGAUAUGUAUUUAUGAUAAUGACAUUGUCUAUCUAUGUGUCUUGACCAAAUUGCGUGCCAGCAGUCGCGGCAAUACGCAGAAGACUAGUGUUAUUCAUCUUUAAUUGGUUUAAAGCGUACCUAGACGGUAAUUAUAGCCUAAAUAAGGUACUUUUUUACUAGAGUUAUAUGUGAAAGUGUAUUAAAGUACUGUUGAGUUUAGAGAUGAAAUUCUUUGACACCAGAUAAUUGGCACAGGUAAAGGCGAAAGCAUCACUUUAUGUAAUAACUGACGUUGAGGAACGAAGGCUAUGUGUCGCGAACAGGAUUAGAUACCCCAGUAGUCUUAGCAGAAAAUUAUGAGUGUCAUAGAUUAGAUUAUAUUUGAUCUAUAAAUGAAAGUGUAAGCAUUCCACCUCAAGAGUAAUUUGGCAACAUUGGAACUGAAAUCAUUAGACCGUUUCUGAAACCAGUAGUGAAGUAUGUUGUUUAAUUUGAU